CUGCAUAAAAUGAAUAAAUUUCAAGAGCACAAAUGAAUAAUGAAGGUACUACACUGAGAGAAAUACUAGAGCGAUAGAUCAAGAUCAUUUCCCUCCUAAAAAGAUAUAUGUACCUUAAUAAAUAAUACAUUUUAUUUAAAUGUAUUUACGGGGAAUAAAGGUUGUGCACUUAGAAAAAUCACUGCGGAUAACAGCUAAAAAUACCAUUAAAAGGUAACUAAGACAUUAUUUAUGGCCAGUUCGUAAACAAUUAUUCAUUUCGCUUUGAAAAAGUCUUUUAAACUUUAUUUUUAUUAAGCAUUGACAAAAAAAAGUACCUAAAUUAAUAUUGCUUUGAAAAUAAAUUGUCGUUUUGAUGCUAAAGUCAAGCUGAAGUCAAAUUUCAAGUGUCUGAUUUUCAUCUUGUUUUUUCGGCUUGAUUGGUUGGGGAUGAGGCGUCACCGUCAAAUUGAUUAUUCAGCUGGUUUUAAUUGAAAACCGAAAAGAAGAAGGAAUGAAUGAAUGGUAUGGCAGGAAGCAGGAAGUCAAAUUCGAGGUGUGGCUGUCCGUUUGUUGAUUUUAUGCUAAUCUAUGCAGCUCAGUAAGAGCAUCAAAGACGUCGAAGCUAAAGCUAAAUUUGAGACUGAGCCAGAGUGGCUGCUGCUGUUGCUGUUGCUUUUCCUGACCGGGAUGAGGUGCUGUCGAUUCAUUUGAAUUUCUGCAUAAAAUUAAAUGACAACCGCCUGCUUCUGCUUCACAGAAUAUGUCAAAGCAAAAUAAACAGUUUUAUUCAUAAUUAUGCA